AUAACGACGCUGGCGGCAGGCUUAACACAUGCAAGUCGAGCGGUAACAGAGUAGCAGCUUGCUAUCUGCUGACGAGCGGCGGACGGGUGAGUAACGCGUGGGAAUCUACCCAGAAGUUCGGGACAACCUGGUGAAAACCAGGCUAAUACCGAAUUAUCUACGGAUGAAAGGAGGGGAUCUUCGGACCUUUCGCUUUUGGAUGAGCCCGCGUUAGAUUAGCUAGUCGGUGGGGUAAAGGCCUACCAAGGCGACGAUCUAUAGCUGGUCUGAGAGGACGAUCAGCCACACUGGGACUGAGACACGGCCCAGACUCGUACGGGAGGCAGCAGUGGGGAAUAUUGGACAAUGGGCGCAAGCCUGAUCCAGCAAUACCGCGUGUGUGAAGAAGGCCUGCGGGUUGUAAAGCACUUUCAAUUGUGAAGAAAAGUUGCAGUUUAAUAAACUGUGACCUUGACGUUAACUUUAGAAGAAGCACCGGCUAACUCCGUGCCAGCAGCCGCGGUAAUACGGAGGGUGCGAGCGUUAAUCGGAAUUACUGGGCGUAAAGCGUGCGUAGGCGGUUAUUUAAGUCAGAUGUGAAAGCCCAGGGCUUAACCUUGGAACUGCAUUUGAAACUGGAUAACUAGAGUUUGGUAGAGGUGAGUAGAAUUCCUAGUGUAGCGGUGAAAUGCGUAGAUAUUAGGAGGAAUACCAGUGGCGAAGGCGGCUCACUGGACCAAAACUGACGCUGAGGCACGAAAGCGUGGGGAGCGAACGGGAUUAGAUACCCGGUAGUCCACGCCGUAAACGAUGUCAACUAGUCGUUGGGUCUAUUCGGGACUUAGUGACGCAGCUAACGCGAGAGUUGACCGCCUGGGGAGUACGGCCGCAAGGCUAAAACUCAAAUGAUGGUUGCCGGC
rnacentral:rRNA from 1 species